rnacentral:rRNA from 1 species
GAUGAACGCUGGCGGCGUGCCUAAUACAUGCAAGUCGAGCGAACGGACGAGAAGCUUGCUUCUCUGAUGUUAGCGGCGGACGGGUGAGUAACACGUGGAUAACCUACCUAUAAGACUGGGAUAACUUCGGGAAACCGGAGCUAAUACCGGAUGAUAUUUUGAACCGCAUGGUUCAAAAGUGAAAGACGGUCUUGCUGUCACUUAUAGAUGGAUCCGCGCUGCAUUAGCUAGUUGGUAAGGUAACGGCUUACCAAGGCAACGAUGCAUAGCCGACCUGAGAGGUGGAUCGGCAACAAUGGAAGGUAGAACGGGAGGAGGGAAGUAAGGGAGGGAGAAGUAUGGAAUAGUGAGUAAUGGGUGGAAACGUGGAGGAGUAAUGGUGAGUGAGAGAUGAAGAUGUUGGGAUCGUAAAACUCUGUUAUUAGGGAAGAACAAAUGGGUACGGGAAUAUGCACGUCUGGACGGUACCUAAUAAGCAAGCGACGGCUAACUACGUG